GCCAAGUAUUUGAAUUCGAUUUCCUGUGUAUAUUCAAGAUCUGAAUGAUUCAGUCGAUCAAAUCCCGGCUAAACUCUUGAGUUCAAACUGAAAAAGAGUUUUGAAGAAACAGAGAGAUCCAGGUUACACAACUCGAUCCAAGUAACCAGAUAAAACUAAAUCUCUGUUUGUCUGCCUUAGAGAUCCUUCUGAUCUCGCCUGCGUUCAUCUGUGAAGACAGAAGACCCUUCUAGCUUCCCAAUUCAGAUUCCCACGUGCAAUGUGAGAGAGGAGAACAACUAACGUCGUUAUUCAACUGUUAGUGCACGUGACUUGCACACUGCUGGUGCAAGUAAACCGACGGUGGCCUAAUGGAUAAUUUAACUAAACAACAAUAAUAUCUCAAGCUACUAAAAUAAAGUUUAACCUAAUGGAUAAUUUGCUAGUUAAUAUCUUUAUUAAUUAAGCUAAUUUCUGGCCGAAUGGUUAAAUUUUUGAAGCGCCUAUAAUGCCCACGGUUUAUUAAAACUCCACAUAUAAAAAAAUGCUAUACGAUGUUUGAAGUGCCUAUAAUGCCCACGGUUUAUUAAAACUCCACAUAUAAAAAAAUGCUAUACGAUGGAUAUGAUGGUAAUUUUGGAAAUAAAAGGCAAAACCAAAACAAGUCCACGGCAGAGAUGAAAAGAAAAAAAAAAAACAAGAAAAGAAGAAGAAAAACGGUCGCCGUCGCCCAUGAUCUCAAUGGAGGCAGAGACUCAGGACGACGUGGGAAUUCAAAUGUAUACAUCAACACUCAUCCGUCUUCCAAUUCCCAGUUCACACGAAAAUAGGAAACAAAUAAAGAAAGAAGAGCAGCGCAGAAUCAAACCAAAAAGGAGGAGAAAAUUCUUAUCAAAUCGGCUUAGGUCAGACUUGAUAAUUAUCAUUGGACUAUGCUAAGAAGUUUGCUGUGAUCCUUGGGUGAUGGAGAAGUUUUUUGUGAUCCUUAGAACUGCGGUAGUUAGAGGUUGUGGAAAGUGUGGACAAUAGUAUUUGGCUGAGCCUAUUGAUGCAUGCUCGACAUUGACUAAUGAAGCCAGACAUGGCAAGAAUUAUAGCUCCCCUUUUGUGUUGAUUAUAAGAGGAGGGUGCAGUUUUGAUUUUUGAGGAUAAAGUUAGAAGAGCUCAAAAGCUUGAGUUCAAAGCUGCAAUUUUUUACAACAAAGAAGAGAGCGGCGUCUUUGUUUCAAAAAGAGAACUCAUAGAGGUAGAACUGAAAGCAGAUCGAUAAGGACCUGUUGAUCCAUAUUCAAGCAUGUAUAUAUGAAUGGCAGAUUGGACACUAGAUAUAAAAUUAUGAUCAACAAGCAAAACUGAAAGCAAAUCGAUAAGGACCUGUUGGUCUAUAUUCAAGCAGAAAAUCUUUCUGCAUCGACCGGAUUAUAUUGAUACUUUGAUGGUACACCAAAAGACUGGGCAACUCGACAGUCAACUCAAGUCCGGUUGGGUUCACAUACCUCUAUGUCUGAGUCAGAUUCACAUACUAGACCGAUUCAGGUCCACAGAGACGAAUCAGGGGCAACCUAGACUAUGGAUGCUUCAAGUACGUACUAGGCUAAUACUGAAACUACCAUAAAAAUAUAAGAGGAACUAUAGCCAGGUUAAAGCAUGCACUAUUUCCAAUAAGUUCUGCUACGCUGUUACCGUAACACACUGUUACUACAUGACCAUUUAAUUGUUUGAAAGCAAAUAAGGUGUUGAUGACAAUGGACCAGUACUCUGUCUUUGGGCAUAGGUAAAGUAAUCAUAUAUCUAAAUAGGGACAGGGUUAUGUUGUUCAGAAUGAUUUAUUAUUUCAUUCCGCAAGAAAGCAUGAAUUUGAGAAAGACAUUUUUAUUGCAACCUAUUUAGAUAUGAUUAGUUUCAUCAGUAUUGCAAGGUAAUAUAAAUCAAUGAAUCAUAUCAUGUGGUUAGUGCAUGAGAAAAUCAAUAAAAAUGAACACUGUUU